AUUGAACGCUGGCGGCAAGCCUAACACAUGCAAGUCGAACGCGUGGCGGACGGGUGAGAAAUGUCUGGGAAACUGCCUGAUGGAGGGGGAUAACUACUGGAAACGGUAGCUAAUACCGCAUACCAUCGGAUGUGCCAAGAUGGGAUUAGCUAGUAGGUGGGGUAAAGGCCCACCUAGGCGCCGAUCCCUAGCUGGUCUGAGAGGAUGAACAGCCAAACUGGAACUGAGACACGGUCCAGACUCCUACGGGAGGCAGCAGUGGGGAAUAGUGCGCAAUGGGCGCAAGCCUGAUGCAGCCAUGCCGCGUGUAUGAAGAAGGCCUUCGGGUUGUAAAGUACUUUCAGCGGGGAGGCGUUACCCGCAGAAGAAGCACCGGCUAACUCCGUGCCAGCAGCCGCGGUAAUUC
rnacentral:rRNA from 1 species